CGAGCGUCAUUACAACCCUCAAGCUCAGCUUGGUGUUGGGCUCGCCCCCAGUGGGCCUGCCUCAAAAUCAGUGGCGGCUCCGUCCAGUCUCAAGCGCAGUAAUACUCGCCGCUUGUUAGAUUUGGGCGGCGGCCCGCUAUACAACCCCCACUUUUUACAAGGUUGACCUCGGAUCAGGUAGGGAUACCCGCUGAACUUAA
rnacentral:misc_RNA from 1 species